CCUACGGGAGGCAGCAGUGAGGAAUCUUCCACAAUGGGCGAAAGCCUGAUGGAGCGACACCGCGUGAAGGAUGAAGCCUUUGUUGGUGUAAACUUCUUUUUUCUCCGAAGAUAAUGACGGUAGGAGAA
rnacentral:rRNA from 1 species